rnacentral:rRNA from 1 species
UGAAGGUCAGGCUGAAGACCUUACCCGAUUAGCUGAGAGGUGGUGCAUGGCCGUCGUCAGUUCGUACUGUGAAGCAUCCUGUUAAGUCAGGCAACGAGCGAGACCCACGUCCACAGUUGCCAGCAUACCCUCCGGGGUGAUGGGUACACUGUGGAGACCGCCGCUGCUAAAGCGGAGGAAGGAGUGGGCAACGGUAGGUCAGUAUGCCCCGAAUCUCCCGGGCUACACGCGGGCUACAAUGGUUGGUACAAUGGGCAUCUACCCCGAAAGGGGAAGGAAAUCUCCUAAAGCCAAUCGUAGUUCGGAUUGAGGGCUGCAACUCGCCCUCAUGAAGCUGGAAUCCGUAGUAAUCGCGUUUCAACAGAACGCGGUGAAUACGUCCCUGCUCCUU